UGGGGAAUAUUGCACAAUGGGCGCAAGCCUGAUGCAGCCAUGCCGCGUGUGUGAAGAAGGCCUGGUUGUAAGCACUUCAGCGGGAGGAAGGCGGUGAGGUUAAUAACCUCAUCGAUUGACGUUACCCGCAGAAGAAGCACCGGCUAACUCCGUGCAAG
rnacentral:rRNA from 1 species